AGAAUGCUUUAAUUUAUUCUAAAUUGAAAUAAAAACAGCUAGAAAUUCUAGAUUGGAAAAAAAAAAAACGCCAAAGGAUAGAGUGAAACGCAUAAAGUAACUUUUAAAAAUGUAUGGAUGUAAAUGCAAGAGUUCUGCACUGAGCAGAACCCUUCUUUCCUAAGUUUAAGACAAUAUGAGUAUAAUUUACCCCUUAGUAACAGUUUUCAUUCUAUGUGUGUGAAGAGGAGUAACCUUCUGAUGACAGCAGGCUGAAUGGGAUCCUAACUGGGAAUAACAUCAAUUUAACUUCAUUAAGAAUGGGGAGAAGAGCUAGAUUGUUUAAGUUGUGUCUAAAACAUUCUAUUCAGAAUAAAAAAAACGAUCCUUACACCUGGAGGAAGAUUAAAAGCCAAGCCACAGGGUCAAGCCAUUCCCAGGGAGCCAAUGGAAAGAGUGGAAAAUUCCAGGCACGUACGGUACAAGUUCCUUCCUUGCCCACAGAUUUCACUUACCAAUCGUAGUUUUCCCUUCAGAUGAGCCCCAGUCUGAGCCUCGUCUCAAACCAUUCUCUAGGCAGCCACCAUCAGUUCUCCACCGGCUGGGCCCCCGGAGGCAGAAAGCCAAUGCGUGAUCUCACCACCACACACACCACAGCGACACUUCCCAGCCCAGGAAGAGGUCACGGCAGCAUCGUUUUCUUCCCAGGUUAUGAAGGACUUGUUUGCCGUGUACUUAAUUCUACCCCUGAAAGCAAGACUUGUGGGCUGCGAAAGAAAGACUAAUGCCAUCCCUGCAGAUUACUUGAAAAACAGAAACGACCCUGAGAUCACUCAGAGUUAAGAAGGUUCUCCUAACAGACCCAUAGCUGGUCCCUGAGAACAAAGAAAUCUAAGACUUAACAACACAACGGCCUCGUUGAAAUUUUACCCCUAGCGCAUCUGCUCGGCAGGCUCCUGGGUGCAGGCUCCUGGCUGGGGAAGGGUCGGACCUGUAGAAGCGCACGUGAAAGGACCCGGAUGGUUCCAUGAGCGGUUCAAGGUCCCGGGCAGGAGAUGGGCCCCGUGCCGCUUCAUGGAGGAAUGCUGGUGGGCCUCAACUUCCAGCAUGAACACGACCUGUGAACACGUGUACAAGACUGGACUUUUACGUUUCCAGUAAGAGCUGUUUGUGAGAAGUCUGUACCGACGGGUUGAUAUUAAGAGCAAAAAGGACACAGUGCCCAUGAACAUCUUGGUCACAAUUGUGUAAAUACUAGACAAUACUGGGAAACUAUAUAUUGACACUUUUGCCCUGGUUAGCUUUCAAUAAUGAAAUUGCAGGUAACGUUUUCCUCUCUCUACUUCGGUCUUUUUUCUACAUUUUUAAGGAAAAUAAGCAGCAUGUACAGGAACGUUGUACUUUUUGAAACAUAACUGUAUCCUUCAAUUUAAAACA